rnacentral:rRNA from 1 species
AGCGAACGCUGGCGGCAUGCCUAACACAUGCAAGUCGCACGGUCCGGGGGAGACUUCGGGCAGUGGCGGACGGGUGAGUAACGCGUAGGGAUCUAUCCUUGGAUGGGGGACAACCGCGGGAAACCGCGGCUAAUACCGCAUGAUGCCUGAGGGCCAAAGCUUCGAUGAUCUGAUCGUGGCACGCUUGUGCCGCGUGAAUCAGAUCACCAGAGAAANCUGGUGAUGCGAUUCACGCGAUUUGCCUGGCAAAUCGCGACCGCAUCACGGAGCGUCUGGGGAGGAGCCUGCGUCCGAUUAGCUAGUUGGUGGGGUAACGGCCUACCAAGGCGGCGAUCGGUAGCUGGUCUGAGAGGAUGAUCAGCCACACUGGGACUGAGACACGGCCCA